rnacentral:rRNA from 1 species
CGUGUAGGCGGUUUGUUAAGUCAUGUGUGAAAUCCCUCGGCUCAACCGGGGAACGACGCAUGAAACUGACAAGCUAGAGUACCAAAGAGGGGGGUGGAAUUCCCGGUGUAGCGGUGAAACGCGUAGAUAUCGGGAGGAACACCGGUGGCGAAGGCGGCCCCCCUGGUUGGAUACUGACGCUGAGACGCGAAAGCGUGGGGAGCAAACA